AUGAACGCUGGCGGCGUGCCUCAUACAUGCAAGUCGAGCGAACAGACGAGGAGCUUGCUCCUCUGACGUUAGCGGCGGACGGGUGAGUAACACGUGGAUAACCUACCUAUAAGACUGGGAUAACUUCGGGAAACCGGAGCUAAUACCGGAUAAUAUAUUGAACCGCAUGGUUCAAUAGUGAAAGACGGUUUUGCUGUCACUUAUAGAUGGAUCCGCGCCGCAUUAGCUAGUUGGUAAGGUAACGGCUUACCAAGGCAACGAUGCGUAGCCGGCCUGAGAGGGUGGUGGGCCACACUGGAAAUGGAACCCGCGCCAGACCCCUGGGGGGGGGAGCAGGGAGGAAACCUCCGACAUGGGGAGAAGGCCGGAGGGAGAACGCCGGGGGGAGGAAGAAGGGCUUUGGUACAUAAAAAUUGUUUUUGGGGGAAAAAAAAAGUGGUAAAGAACUAUGCCCCUCUUGAGGGGACCUAAAAAAAAAGCCCCCGCAAACCUCGUGC
rnacentral:rRNA from 1 species